AUUGAACGCUGGCGGCAGGCCUAACACAUGCAAGUCGAGCGGAUGAAGGGAACUUGCUCCUGGACUCAGCGGCGGACGGGUGAGUAAUGCCUAGGAAUCUGCCUGGUAGUGGGGGAUAACGUCCGGAAACGGGCGCUAAUACCGCAUACGUCCUGAGGGAGAAAGUGGGGGAUCUUCGGACCUCACGCUAUCAGAUGAGCCUAGGUCGGAUUAGCUAGUUGGUGGGGUAAAGGCCUACCAAGGCGACGAUCCGUAACUGGUCUGAGAGGAUGAUCAGUCACACUGGAACUGAGACACGGUCCAGACUCCUACGGGAGGCAGCAGUGGGGAAUAUUGGACAAUGGGCGAAAGCCUGAUCCAGCCAUGCCGCGUGUGUGAAGAAGGUCUUCGGACUGUAAAGCACUUUAAGUUGGGAGGAAGGGCAGUAAGUUAAUACCUUGCUGUUUUGACGUUACCAACAGAAUAAGCACCGGCUAACUUCGU
rnacentral:rRNA from 1 species